rnacentral:rRNA from 1 species
GUGGGGAAUCUUAGACAAUGGGCGAAAGCCUGAUCCAGCCAUGCCGCGUGAACGAUGAAGGCCUUCGGGUUGUAAAGUUCUUUAGCCGAUGAUUAUAAUGACUGUAGUCGGAAAAUAAGCCCCGGCUAACUUCGUGCCAGCAGCCGCGGUAAUACGAAGGGGGCGAGCGUUAUUCGGAAUCACUGGGCGUAAAGCGUGCGUAGGCGGUUUUGUAAGUUAGGAGUGAAAGCCCAGGGCUCAACCUUGGAAUUGCUCUUAAAACUGCAAGGCUCGAAUCUCGGAGAGGAUAGCGGAAUUUCCAGUGUAGCAGUGAAAUGCGUAGAUAUUGGAAGGAACACCAGUGGCGUAAGCGGCUAUCUGGACGAGUAUUGACGCUGAGGCACGAAAGCGUGGGGAUCAAACAGGAUUAGAUACCCUUGUAGUCC